rnacentral:rRNA from 1 species
UACGUAGGGUCCGAGCGUUGUCCGGAUUUAUUGGGCGUAAAGAGCUCGUAGGCGGUGUGUCACGUCGGCCGUGAAAACCUGCAGCUUAACUGUGGGCGUGCGGUCGAUACGGGCAUCACUGGAGUUCGGUAGGGGAGACUGGAAUUCCGGGUGUAGCGGUGGAAUGCGUAGAGAUCCGGAAGAACACCGGAGGCGAAGGCGGCUUGCUGGGCAUGGUCUGACGCUGAGGCGCGAAAGCGUGGGGAGCGAACAGG